GACGAACGCUGGCGGCGUGCUUAACACAUGCAAGUGGAGCGACGAACCAGGGCUUGCCCUGGGGCAGAGCCGCGAACGGGUGAGUAACACGUGGGUAACGUGCCCCGAUGACUGGGACAACCCGGGGAAACCCGGGCUAAUACCGGAUGUGCCCCCUCACAUCAGUGAGGUGUGUAAAGGAAGCUUCGGCCUCCGCAUCGGGAUCGGCCCGCGGCCCAUUAGCUUGUUGGUGAGGUAACGGCUCACCAAGGCUGCGAUGGGUAGCUCGUCUGAGAGGACGACCGGCCCCCUCGGGACUGAGAGACGCCCCAGACGCCUACGGGGGGCAGCUGCGGGGAAUAUUCCACCACGGUCCGGAUCCGGAGCCAGCACCGCCGCGACCGGGAGGACGGCCUGCGGGUUGCAAACCGCAUCCGCCUGUGACCAAGCGUGACUGACGGUAAUGGAUAAAGAAGCACCGGCUAACUACGUG
rnacentral:rRNA from 1 species